rnacentral:rRNA from 1 species
GAACGUACGCUGGCGGCACGCCUAACACAUGCAAGUCGAACGAAGUAGCAAUACUUAGUGGCAGACGGGUGAGUAACAUGUAGGUAUCUGCCCUUUGGCCUGGAAUAACACGAGGAAACUUGUGCUAAUACCGGAUAAGUCUUUACGGAGAAAGCUUUAUGCACCAUUGGAUGAGCCUGCACUUGAUUAGUUUGUUGGUGGGGUAAUGGCCUACCAAGACUGUGAUCAAUAGCUGAUUUGAGAGGAUGAUCAGCCACAUUGGGACUGAGACACGGCCCAAACUCCUACGGGAGGCAGCAGUGGGGAAUCUUGCACAAUGGAGGAAACUCUGAUGCAGCGAUGCCGCGUGAGUGAAGAAGGCCUUUGGGUUGUAAAGCUCUUUCGUCGGGGAAGAAAAUGACUGUACCCGAAUAAGAAGGUCCGGCUAACUUCGUGCCAGCAGCCGCGGUAAUACGAAGGGACCUAGCGUAGUUCGGAAUUACUGGGCUUAAAGAGUUCGUAGGUGGUUGAAAAAGUUAGUGGUGAAAUCCCAGAGCUUAACUCUGGAACUGCCAUUAAAACUUUUCAGCUAGAGUAUGAUAGAGGAAAGCAGAAUUUCUAGUGUAGAGGUGAAAUUCGUAGAUAUUAGAAAGAAUACCAAUUGCGAAGGCAGCUUUCUGGAUCAUUACUGACACUGAGGAACGAAAGCAUGGGUAGCGAAGAGGAUUAGAUACCCUCGUAGUCCAUGCCGUAAACGAUGUGUGUUAGACGUUGGAAAUUUAUUUUCAGUGUCGCAGGGAAACCGAUAAACACACCGCCUGGGGAGUACGACCGCAAGGUUAAAACUCAAAUGAAUUGACGGGGACCCGCACAAGUAGUGGAGCAUGUGGUUUAAUUCGAAGAUACGCGCAGAACCUUACCAACACUUGACAUGUUCGUCGCAACUCUAAGAGAUUAGAGUUUUCGGUUCGGCCGGACGAAACACAGGUGCUGCAUGGCUGUCGUCAGCUCGUGUCGUGAGAUGUUGGGUUAAGUCCCGCAACGAGCGCAACCCUCACUUUUAGUUGCCAUCAUUAAGUUGGGCACUCUAAAAGAACUGCCAGUGAUAAGCUGGAGGAAGGUGGGGAUGACGUCAAGUCCUCAUGGCCCUUACGUGUUGGGCUACACACGUGCUACAAUGGUAUCUACAACAGGAAGCAAGACGGCGACGUCAAGCAAAUCCCUAAAAGAUACCUCAGUUCGGAUUGCACUCUGCAACUCGAGUGCAUGAAGCUGGAAUUACUAGUAAUCGUGGAUCAGCGUGCCACGGUGAAUGCGUUCCCGGGUCUUGUACACACCGCC